rnacentral:rRNA from 1 species
GACGAACGCUGGCGGCGUGCUUAACACAUGCAAGUCGAACGAAGAGGCGAACGGGUGAGUAAUACGUGGGUAACCUGCCCUCCUUUUUGGGAUAAGCCUUGGAAACGGGGUCUAAUUCCGAAUAACGGGGGAUGGGCUCGCGGCAUAUCAGCUUGGUGGGGGGUUGAUGGCCUACCAAGGCGGUGACGGGUAGCCGGCCUGAGAGGGUGACCGGCCACAGUGGGACUGAGACACGGCCCAGACUCCUACGGGAGGCAGCAGUGGGGGAUAUUGCACAAUGGGCGAAAGCCUGAUGCAGCGACGCCGCGUGUAUGAAGAAGGCCUUCGGGUUGUAAAGUACUUUCAGCGAGGAGGCGUUACUCGCAGAAGAAGCACCGGCUAACUCCGUGCCAGCAGCCGCGGUAAUAC